AUAUUUGGAAGCCAAUGAAAAGGAGAAAGAUGCAAAGAAAAAACUGGAUUAUUAGUCAAUCAGGUUAUUUUGAAUGUCAGGAAGAGCUGUUUCAGGUGAAAAAAGCAAGAGAAAGGCAAUCUUAAUGCCCAAAGUUGAAAAGAUUGCUCGUCGUGUUGAUGUUAAUGCCCAAAAGCGCAUCACUACUCUGGGGGAGGCAGAAUCCUGGGUUAAAACAAAUUCAGGGUAAAAAUAUGAAACUUCUACAAGCAUUGAAAAGUUUCGAAUGUAACAAAAUAUUUGAAGCUUAUGAUUGGUUGCAAAGUCAUCGCGAAGAUUUUGAUAAGGAUGUUUAUGGUCCUGUGCUGUUGGAGGUACACACGAAAGCCUUGAUUGUAUAGUUUACUUAUUAUUUCUUUUUUCACAAUUAACUUCAUUGAAGUCUUUCUAAGCACAAACUCAAGUUAAUGUACCAACUACUUAGAAGGUCAUGUUCCUAGCUACAUCUGGAAGGUAGUUUCAUUUAAAUAUUAAUGUUUUAUUGUUUGUACUCCAUAUUUCUUUUUUCUUUGACGUCAAAAUCAAGGUUUUUGUCGAUAGUUCCAUUCAUAUAUUUUCUCCUCUUAAAAAAAAUUUCCUGUCAAAUCUUCUUUUUUUUCUUGCUUGGGAAACCCCAUGUAUGCUUGUUUCAUUUUUCAGUAAAGAAUAUAGUGAAGUAACUGCUUUAU